rfam:Myotis brandtii contig267811, whole genome shotgun sequence.
GGGGGUUCUCGGGUGACACCCCAGAAUCCUGCUCCCUCCUCUCUGGUUCCAGGUGCAUCACCCAAGAACCGCA